rnacentral:tRNA from 1 species
CGGUCCCCCUCCCAUUAGGUUAGGGAGGGGUCCCUCACUCCUUCGGGGUCCGCCCGCCUCCCGCGGGGGGCGGG